rnacentral:misc_RNA from 1 species
UGGGUGGGCGAAUGGCCCCUAGAUGGAAUGACCGUGUCGGCACGUGAGCGGUGAUGGAUUCGCAUGCCACGGCGGGCUCCCUGCCACUGUGCAGCCAACCGCCGUUGCUGCAGCCCCUUCACUCGUGCUCCAACCACUCGGAGCCUCCCGCGUUGCCUGUACAACAUACCCGGUUNUCGGGCAAAUGACUUCGUCCAAAACGCUCUUCCGCUCCCCCUGCCUUGUCGCGGGCGCGGAGCGGCGACGUCGGCGGUCCUCGUGCUCCCUCGGACGACGGCACGGCUUCGGCCCCUCGUCUCGAUCGGCCCUCGGGGAUUCGCCAGCUCUCGCGGACACGGCAGACAAUGUUGGCUCGGGGCCUUCGCAGCCCCCGCACCACGAUCGGUCGGCUCACUUCGCCGCCCUCAACGAGACGACCGUCGACCCGUCGUCCCCCCACCACUCGCCCAACGGCG